AGUGGGCUCAAAGACAAAAUAUUUGAAAAUACACAGAGAAGAAAGAAAAAAGGAUAAAAAAGAAGAGAAAAAGCUUAUGAAAUCUAUGGUGCCACAUCAUAAAAGCAAAUAUCUGUGUUAUUGGAUUUCAAGGUGGAGCUAAGAAAGACAAAAGAGUAGAAUUAUUAUUUCAAGAAAUAUUAGAAAGCUUUCCAAACCUAGAGAAAUGUAUAAAUAUCCAGGUCAGGAAAAUCAAAGGUCAGUAAUCAGAUUUAACCCAAAUAAGACUACCUUGAGACAUAAUCAAACGCUUAAAGAUCAAAGACAAAGAGAGGGUCCCAAAAUCUUCUGAGAGAAAAGAGGUAAAAAACAUAUAAUGUAGCUCCAAUACAUCUGGCAGCUGACUUCUCAGCAGAAAACUUGCCAGCCAGGAGGAAUCAUUCAGAAUGAUGAAGAAGGGGAAAGAAGCUUCAACCAAGAAUUCUGUACCCAACAGAGCUAUCCUUCAGAAAUGAAGAAAAGAUAAAUAUUUUCCCAGACAACCAAAGUUGAAGUAAUUCAUUACUACUAGACAUGUCAUACAAGAAAUAACGAAGGAGGUCUUCAAACUGAAAGAAAUGCACACUAACCUGUUACAGAAAAACAUUUGAAGCUGCCUGGAGCUAUGGGAGGGGCAAUAAAAGGACUGCUGUGGCCACCACAACUGGGACUGCACUGUGUCAGAUCUGAAGCGAGCACAGCCCUGAGUCUCAUCCAGAGCCCAUUAUAACCAUUGCUUGGCCAACAUCUAUGUUUGUUCAAACCUCAGCGCUCUACAGUCAGCAGAUGGCAAAGCCAACAAGGCUUUUCUCUUUCCCUUUAGGGUGGAAAGUUUCCCCCCAGCCCAGUAGAAAUGGGGUUUCACCGUGUUGGCAUGCUGGUCUCAAA
rnacentral:lncRNA from 1 species